AAUAAUAUUUCGUGAAAUGGUGAAAAAAUAAUGAGAAUUAAGAUGAUUAUUAAUAUUACUUUUAUAAAAAUAAUAGUUUACAUUUAAAAAAUAUAAAAAAAAAAAAAAAAAUCUUAUUGCAGCCCCCAUUCGGCGUGUACAAUGCAGGCAUAAAUGAAAUGAAAUGCAGUGUUUUAUUAUUAAAUGAAACAAAACAGACCUGCUCUAGGUCUUCUGGCCCUCGCCCCAGACCCAUUCAUCUCCAUACCUACAGCCGAAGCUUGCCCAAGCUCAUCGUGCGUCGCCAUCGCCGUGGAUGUCUCCGUCGUUGCUCCCUUGAGCAAGCUACGUCGUCAUCACUCGUAGAGUAUUUCAUCCAUUCUCUGUGAUUUGAAAUGUUUUUGGGAAGGCCAUACUGAGAAUACUUUUUAUGGGUAGAUAUUGAAACAAAACCUGAAGGAAAAAUUGUGAGCGAAAGAGAACGUUGUCUCCAAAAGAGAGAGGAAGAACUCCAAAAGAGGAAGGAAGAACUCCAACAUAAAAUUGUACAGUUUCAAAAAUCACGAUGACAUCCAAAAUGAUCAGGAUGUGCUUCAUGGUGUAAUGAAAGAUAUUAACCAUACACGAACCACAUGCAACCCUGCAUAUAUUGGGGACUUGCAAUUCUAAUAUUUUGCUAUUAGAUAGGAUCAAGAACAAUUACAAAUUAGUAGUAGUGUGUAUCAAACUAUGUAAUGUUGUUAAGUAGGUUGUAAUAGAUAAGUUUACAACCUUUAUCAAUAUUGUAAUAUUAAACCCAUCAGACUUGUGAACAUUAUGAAUGGUUAUGAGAAGUAUUUUCCUUGCACUGUA